GUGGGGAAUAUUGGACAAUGGGGGGAACCCUGAUCCAGCCAUGCCGCGUGUGUGAAGAAGGCCUUUUGGUUGUAAAGCACUUUAAGCGAGGAGGAGGCUACCGAGAUUAAUACUCUUGGAUAGUGGACGUUACUCGCAGAAUAAGCACCGGCUAACUCUGUGCCAGCAGCCGCGGUAAUACAGAGGGUGCGAGCGUUAAUCGGAUUUACUGGGCGUAAAGCGUGCGUAGGCGGCUUUUUAAGUCGGAUGUGAAAUCCCCGAGCUUAACUUGGGAAUUGCAUUAGAUACUGGGAGGCUAGAGUAUGGGAGAGGAUGGUAGAAUUCCAGGUGUAGCGGUGAAAUGCGUAGAGAUCUGGAGGAAUACCGAUGGCGAAGGCAGCCAUCUGGCCUAAUACUGACGCUGAGGUACGAAAGCAUGGGGAGCAAACAGGAUUAGAAACCCGAGUAGUCC
rnacentral:rRNA from 1 species